rnacentral:SRP_RNA from 1 species
GUUGAGCUUAGUAACGUGGGCUUGUAAUCCAAGUGGAGACAUCAAAGUGGUUGAAUAUUGGGCUUUACCAGAAGGUUGGGCUUGGUGGGCUUAGUUCUGGCCUGCCCUGUCCAAGCACAGAGUAGGAUCACGAGGCCCAAAUGAAAAUAUGGGCUUCUUGAUUCCUAAAGCGGGGCGGACCGCAUGAGGCUGGCUUCACAGAGCAGUGAACAGCUCCCGCUCUGUGCAGUGGAAGGAUAAUGGGUCGGUGUCUUAUCAAGUUCAGUAACGCCUAAUGGGUUGCUCCAAUAAACAACCACCUUUU